GUGCCGUGCCUAAAGAUCAGUUUAGUGCGCCCCUCGCCCACCCACCCUCUAACAGUCUAACCUAGUGAAGAAAAUAUAAAACGCUCACAGGUUUGAGGAUCCCAGCAACUCCCUGUACAAACCAAAAUCGAUGGAUGGGGGAGUUUACCCCUGAUCUGAGGUUCUGAAUCACCGGAAAAAGAAGAAGAGCGGCCUAAAAUCUCAUUUGCUUUGAGAGGUGGACAUACAGAGGCCACUUCCUCUGCCUGCCUCCGCAUGAUCUAUGUACACAUGGGAAAGCAAGAGAGCCCUUUGUUUCCAGAAGAAGGUUUGAAAGAAUCAACAAGGCACAAGGGACGGGAUCUGAAGGAAGUUGCAGAUAGGGACCAAUUGAAACUUGUUGAAUUUAUUGUUGAAAGGGUUUGGAGUAAAUUGAAAAGUGCCCCCCUGAUUGAAGUUGAGUAUAAUGUUGGACUUGGAUCGUUUGUGGAACAUCUAUUGCAUUUGUUGGAUUUGAAUUUUGUACAUCACUUUUUGGUGGGUUUUUUGGAUUGGGUGGACUCGGCAAGACAACUAUUGCAAAGGCUGUCUAUAAUCGAGAUAGCUUUUUUGCAGUUAUCAGAGAACAAGCUUCGAAACAUAUGGGUAUAGUUUGUUUGCAAAAACGACUUAUCUAUGAUAUCAUGAGGAAGCGAAAAAGUUCUCAUUAUUCUUGAUGAUGUGGACAAUGACCAAACUAGAUGCACUGCUAAAUAAUUAUAAUUGGUGGUCCAGGAAGUAGGAUAAUCAUAACAACUAGAGAUGAACAUAUCUUUAUAGAAGGUAAAAUUGAGCGAAGUAAAAUUUGUAUGCUCAAUGUUAGAUGAAGAUCAAUCAUGUCGAAUGUUCAGUAUACAUGCAUCUUAUGAGAAAGUUUUUGUGCAACUUUCACAUGAUAUGAUACAUUUUGCUCAAGGAUUGCUCUUGAUUUAGAAGUGUUGCGUUUCUUUUUAUUUGACAACUGAAAAGUGGUUGUAAGAAUUUAUAGACAUUCUGUCUAGUAAUGUUCAAAAGAAGUUAAAGACAAGCAAUGAUGGACUAACAUGUAAAUGGAAAGCCAUGUUGCUUGAUAUUGCAUAUUUUUAUUGGAAUGAAUAAAGAAAUUAAGAUUUCCUUACCAAAAGGUAGUUCCUUUCAAUUGGAAUGGAAGUUCUCAUUUUGAAGUCUCUUAUAAUUGAUGUUCACAAUAAGCAUUGAGGGAUGUCGGCCAUCGCUCAUAGACAGUAUUGGUAUCCAGUUGCUUAGUAUCAAUCAGUGAGCGUUGUUGGUGAUCUACUUCGAGACAUGGGAAGGACAAUGAGCCAUCGAUGCAUGAUUAGAUUCAAGAGUAAUCGACUUUCUUUGGAUCUGAUGCCUUCGUAUUACCAAAGGGAACAGAUGAUAACAGGUGUGGUGAUUUCUCUCUUCUUCUCUAUAUUGUCCAAGAGCUUGGAUAAUUACAUCUAGUGGUGUUUGGAAACUGUGGUACACUCAACCAUUGGUUGAAAACAGGGCAGACAACCGAUGAUCAAAUGUUCAAAAGGUUGAUCAUUUCUUCGGUUGUUUAUAUGUAAUUGGUUAUGGAAAUGUCACUCGUGAAAUUGAUGAUGAUGGACAGCCAUAUUCUGUCCGUCCUGGAGAGCAGAUAGACCAAAGUGUUCUGGGCAGCUCCAACUCGUUGUGUAUGAUUGUACCUCCCUCCUCCCUCCUCCCUCCUCCCUCCUCCCUCCUCCCUUUUCUUUGGUGAACACAAUUUUCCUUUCUCUGUUAAGCCCUCGUGGCCAACACAUAUACCUUUAUUUGUAAGGAUAGCAUAAACUACCAAAGAAAGAGAUGGAGAACAUUUAUUUUUGUGUUGAAUCCCGUAAGAGAAUUCAUAUAAUCCAUUGUUUUCUAAAGUA